rnacentral:lncRNA from 1 species
GUGGAAGGAGCCCUUCUCUGCCUUGGCCAGCUGUUCCUCUAGAGACCUCAGCAGUGGGGAGAUGGCCAAGUGUGGUAGGGCUCUGUCCUGGGGAAGUCAUGUCUCAAGCACAGCUACUGAGAAAUACACAUGAGCCUUCUGAUGUCCUGAUGAUAUCCCCUCUGGAUACCAGGUCAAUGUCAGAAUCUGAAGUAGAAGAUGAGACGCCUUUCCUGCUGGGUGCUCACACUGACCAAUGGCUUGGAGAUCAAGGACCCCAGGGUGCCAAAGGUGGUGAAACCCAAACCUGUU